rnacentral:tRNA from 1 species
GUUUAUCUAGUAUAUAAGUAUACCUGACUUCCAAUCAGGGGGCCUGAAUGAAUAUUCAGGAUAAACA